rnacentral:lncRNA from 1 species
GAUACUCGCAUAAAUGGUUGUCAUCUUAUUUAUAUGAGACCUUUUUUCUCAUUACCAUUUUAUACAAUCAAACAAUACAUACACUAACACUUCAAAGAGAGUCAUAAAAAAAUCUUAAGUUGCCUUAGUCGAAGUUCGAAUAAGUCAAACUACAGCUUUGCGCUUUCUUAAAGCCUUAUAACAGCGCCAAUUUAGUCAAAUACAUAAUAUAGAUGAGUAAAUGGGUCAUUA